ACCCAAAUGACCAUCAGUGGGUUAAUGGAUAAACAAACUGUGAUAUAUCCAUACAAUGGAAUAAUAUUUAGUAAUAAAAAAGAAUGAAUUACUGAUACAUGCUUCAAAACAAAGAUGAACUUUGAAAACAUUGUUCUAAGUGAAAGAAUACAGAUAAAAAAGGCCACGCGUUGCAUGAUUCCGCUUAUAUGAAAUAUCCAGAAUAGGUAAAUCCUCAGAGACAGGCAGUAGAUAGAUUAGUGAUUGACAGGGGCGGGAAUGGGGUUGGGGAAUUGGGAAUGACUGCUAACAGGUAUGGAGUUUCUUUUUGGGGUGGUGAAAUGUUCUGGAAUUAGAUAGUGGUGAUGGCUGUGCAACCUCGCAAAUAUACUAAAAACUAUUGAAUUGUACAUUUUAAAAGUGGGUUGUAUGGUAUGUGAAUUAUAUCUCAAUUGAAAAUAAAAAAGGUUUGGGGCUGGCCCCGUGGCCGAGUGGUUAAGUUCGCGCACUCCACUGCAGGCGGCCCAGUGUUUCGUUGGUUCGAAUCCUGGGUGCGGACAUGGCGCUGCUCAUCAAACCACGCUGAGGCAGCGUCCCACAUGCCACAACUAGAAGGACUCACAGCUAAAAAUACACAACUAUGUACCGGGGGACUUUGGGGAGAAAAAAGGAAAAAAUAAAAUCUUUAAAAAAAAAAAAAAAAAAGGUUUUACCAGUGACUUAACCACUAGCAGAAAUGUGGUGAGUAACCGUGUUUUUGGAUUGCCAGACAAAUGUUCAUGUUCUGUCACCAUGACUAGUAAAUAUUUCCUGAAUUAAAUGGAGAUGUAAUACUUGUCUUCAAGGACCUUGCAUAUAUGAACAUGAAAAGAGAAAAUACUGGGAAAUAAGUAGUAGACCAGAAUGAGUGGUAUGAACGAAGAGUUCUCAAAGUGGGGUCUCAAAGUGGGAUUUUUGUGACCCACCCAGAGAGGUUUGGAUUUGACAGGUCUGUGGUGUAUUCCUGGGACCCUGUAUUUUUAGGAAGGACUAUAGGUGUGGAAGAGACUCAUCCAUAUCCUGCUUUAUUCUUCUUCUUGCUACUUGCAAAAUUACACUUCCCCAGCCCUUUUUGGAUGGGUGCACCAUAUGACUAAUUCUGGCCAGUGGGUUGAGAGUGGAAGUUAUGUAUAUCACUUUUGGGUUAAAGCAUUUAAUUGGCAGUAUCAGAACUUCUAGCAUUCUCUUCCAUUGCUGUGCCAAUCAGGGGAGGCCAUGUGUUCCAGACAGGUCAGGUACAGGAUGGUGGAGUCUUCAUUAGCCUGGAUCUUUGAGUCACUGCGUGGAACAAAAUGGUGCUAGAAAGUUGCCCAGACCAGCCCUGGGUUUUGCAUCAGCAAUAAAUAAACCUUUGUUGUGUUAAACCAUUGAAAUGUUGGCAUGUUUGUUAUUGUAGCAUAAUCUGGCCUAUCCUUAACCAGGGGAUUUUGAUGAUUGACCAGGUUUGGGAAUCAGUAGUAGAGAUAAUAAAAGCUAAAGAAUUGGGGGGUGAAAAGAUCAUCUAGGGCUGAGGGUGAUCAGGAAAGACUUAAUAGAAGAAUUUGAGCUGGGCCUUGAAAGAUGGAUAAGAUUGGGAUAGGGAGAAAUAAAUAGGACAUUCUGGAUAGGGGAGAUGUCACAAAUGAUACGGAAGGAGUCAUAGCAAAAUAAUAGUUCCUUAAGUUUUCUUUUCUCUUAAAAGUCAGCUAAGACUUCUCUUUAUAAUGUGCUUGGGGGGCAGAUGCUUCAACUAUUGCCAAAUAUUUAUUUUGUAGUUGGACAAACUGAAAUAACAAUCCAUGUGCAGUGUCACGCAAUGAAUCUUUCAACAAAGAUUGAAUCAUUUCAGUGUGUCCUUUGUUCUGAUGGACAGUUGUCUUGAAUUCUUCUUUCAGAGAGAAUGUAAGCACGUCAUUUUCAAUGGAAUCGGGGAAGGUUAGAAAUGGAAGACUUGAAUGCCAGGCUUCAGUUAUCCUCCCCGAUACAAUGAGAAAGACCCACAUGUUUUCCUUGGAUAUUUAUAUCCAGGUGAUUUUUUUUUUUUUCUGUCUGAAAGAGCCACCUCUUCUGCCAGCAUGCUCUCGUUCCUCCAUUCUGUCCAAGUGUCUUUGUUCCCUUUCCUGCUUGCUCUCACCUUCCUUUCUCCCAUCCUCCAACCUUUCAGGAUAUGAGAUCAGUGAGGAGGAGGGAAAAGGAACUGAUGUUUACCCAGUGCUUUAUGUGUGCCAUACAUGCUUUGACAUAUAUCAUCUCAUCUAGUCCCUGAUGGCAGCAUUCUGAGAGAGUCUCCAGAAAGGAAUGCAACCCUACUGACAUCUUGAUUUUUGCCAGUGAGAUCCACGUCGAACUUCCGACCUACAGAACUCUGAUGUUCCUGCAAAUCAGAAUUGAUUUGAACUAAGGUGAAUGAUAAACAUGCGCUGUCAGACUGCCUCCUGGGAGCCGACUGGUUGGUACAGGGAGAAGAUACUAGGAAUUUCUGAAUUGUAGAAUUACUCCUCUCCCAUGGGUUUCUGCAUUCAAGUCUUCCAAAACUCAAGGAACUAUAGAGAUUUUUCCUGGGUUACAGAGCCAUGAGCCAGAUGAAGGGUACAGAGAACAUCUUUGUUCUGAGUGGACUUUUUGUGACUGCAGUUUGAGAAAACAAACAGACAAGAGAGGUUCCUGCUUCCCUCUUCUGUAAACCUGUGUCUAGGUGUGGUAAUGUCAGAGGCUGAUGGGAAAAGAAAGGUCAAACAAAUAAAAAAGAGCCUCGGCUUUAAAAUGUGCGCAUGUCUAGCGGCGGUGGCUGAGCUGUAUGGUGUGGACUGGAAUGAUGACUGCGGGCCCCGCUCAUCCCUGACCCCCCUCCCAACCACGUCUGCCCCGUGACACUGGAAGAAGUAAAGAUGAGAGUUGGCUCUUGGAGAAAUUUGGCAGGCUUUGCUGACUUCCAGAAAACAGGGAGGAGUUGGACUAGCCAAUGGCCUCUUUUCUGAAGCUUUAGCUGGCUGGGAAAUGGAAGGAAGGGGUGUGAGUGCUCAGAUAAUGAGCUGAGCUGUUCCUGGAAGCAUACAGGAGGCCAGUGAAGAGAGCGUCAGAACCAGUUGUCUUUCCCCUGUGGAGGGAAUUGGGGUAGACGAGAAAUAGAAGUCAGAGGGCCAGGUCCUUGUAGACGUCUUUGUUCCACUUCAUCAUUGUUCUUACUUACGUCUGAUUUUUCCACAGGGCAAAUUUGUGGGGCUCAGGAGGGUGGUGAUGGCCCACCCCAUUCUCGCUUUGACCCUGAGAGGUUACAUGCCACUGUUUCUAGACAUGAAGUGGUGAGCCAAGAAGUCUAUGACCGACACCCCAAUAGAGUAGAGUCAGAAGUCCCUGGGCCUAAGGUCUCAUUCUACCACUUUUUCUGUGUGUGCUGUGGGCAAGCCAUUGAAUUGUCUUGAGCCAAUUUUCUCAUUUGCAAAGUGGGAACAAUAUUAAUGCUCACCCUUAAGACUGUUGCAAAGAUUGGAGUUCAGAUAUUCACAACCACUUUAUGAAAUGAGACAUCAUGUG
ensembl:lncRNA